UUAAAGAUAAGCUAUAACUAAGCUAUUGGGCUCAUAACCCAAAUAAGAAUCUCUCUCUUUAAA
rnacentral:tRNA from 2 species